rnacentral:rRNA from 1 species
UAGCAAGUUUGAUCAUGGCUCAGAUUGAACGCUGGCGGCAAGCCUAACACAUGCAAGUCGAACGGUAACAGGCCAGACAAUCCCUUCGGGGUGCGUCAGGCGCUGACGAGUGGCGGACGGGUGAGUAACGCGUAGGAAUCUGCCCAGUAGCGGGGGACAACCUGGGGAAACCCAGGCUAAUACCGCAUACGCCCUACGGGGGAAAGCGGGGGACUCUUCGGAGCCUCGUACUAUUGGAUGAGCCUGCGUCGGAUUAGCUUGUUGGUAGGGUAACGGCCUACCAAGGCGACGAUCCGUAGCUGGUCUGAGAGGACGAUCAGCCACACUGGGACUGAGACACGGCCCAGACUCCUACGGGAGGCAGCAGUGGGGAAUAUUGGACAAAAGGGGCAACCCUGAUCCAGCAAUGCCGCGUGUGUGAAGAAGGCCUGCGGGUUGUAAAGCACUUUCAGUAGAGAAGAAAAGCUCGAGGUUAAUAACCUCGGGCCUUGACGUUACCUACAGAAGAAGCACCGGCUAACUCCGUGCCAGCAGCCGCGGUAUCGCGGAGGGUGCGAGCGUUAAUCGGAAUUACUGGGCGUAAAGCGCACGUAGGCGGUGAUGUAAGUCGGAUGUGAAAGCCCCGGGCUUAACUUGAGAAUUGCGUUCGAAACUGCAUCACUAGAGUACGGGAGAGGGAAGUGGAAUUCCCGGUGUAGCGGUGAAGCGUAGAUAUCGGGAGGAACACCAGUGGCGAAAGCGACUUCCUGGCCCAAUACUGACGCUCAGUGCGAAAGCGUGGGGAGCAAACAGGAUUAGAUACCCUGGUAGUCCACGCUGUAAACGAUGAGAACUAGAUGUCGGGAGGGUUGGCCU